UCCUCGAUCUGCUGCGGGCAGAUGAAAUGGAUAUGCGGGUCGAUGCCGCCGGCGGUCAGGAUGCGCCCCUCGCCGGCGAUGAUCUCGGUGCCCGGGCCGAUGACGAUGUCGACACCCGGCUGGGUGUCCGGGUUGCCGGCCUUGCCGAUGGCGGCGAUGCGCCCGUCGCGCAGCCCGACAUCGGCCUUGACGAUGCCCCAAUGGUCGAUGAUCAGCGCGUUGGUGAUCACCGUGUCCAUGGCGCCCUCGGCGCGUGUGCGCUGCGACUGGCCCAUGCCGUCGCGGA
rnacentral:sRNA from 1 species